UACGGGGGGGGCAAGCGUUGUUCGGAAUUACUGGGCGUAAAGGGUGCGUAGGCGGCUUUCUAAGUUGGAUGUGAAAACUCUGGGCUCAACCCAGAGCCUGCAUCCAAAACUGGAGAGCUAGGGUUCUGGAGGGGAAAGCGGAAUUCCUGGUGUAGCGGUGAAAUGCGCAGAUAUCGGGAAGAACACCCGUGGCGAAGGCGGUUCUCUGGGACGGUACUGACGCUGAGACGCGAAAGCGUGGGGAGCGAACAGG
rnacentral:rRNA from 1 species